UGAGUAACACGUGGGCAAUCUGCCCUGCACUUCGGGAUAAGCCUGGGAAACUGGGUCUAAUACCGGAUAGGACCUUUAGGCGCAUGCCUUUUGGUGGAAAGCUUUUGCGGUGUGGGAUGGGCCCGCGGCCUAUCAGCUUGUUGGUGGGGUGAUGGCCUACCAAGGCGACGACGGGUAGCCGGCCUGAGAGGGUGUCCGGCCACACUGGGACUGAGAUACGGCCCAGACUCCUACGGGAGGCAGCAGUGGGGAAUAUUGCACAAUGGGCGCAAGCCUGAUGCAGCGACGCCGCGUGGGGGAUGACGGCCUUCGGGUUGUAAACCUCUUUCACCAUCGACGAAGGUCCGGGUUUUCUCGGAUUGACGGUAGGUGGAGAAGAAGCACCGGCCAACUACGUGCCAGCAGCCGCGGUAAUACGUAGGGUGCGAGCGUUGUCCGGAAUUACUGGGCGUAAAGAGCUCGUAGGUGGUUUGUCGCGUUGUUCGUGAAAUCUCACGGCUUAACUGUGAGCGUGCGGGCGAUACGGGCAGACUAGAGUACUGCAGGGGAGACUGGAAUUCCUGGUGUAGCGGUGGAAUGCGCAGAUAUCAGGAGGAACACCGGUGGCGAAGGCGGGUCUCUGGGCAGUAACUGACGCUGAGGAGCGAAAGCGUGGGGAGCGAACAGGAUUAGAUACCCUGGUAGUCCACGCCGUAAACGGUGGGUACUAGGGUGUGGGGUUUCCUUCCUUGGGAUCCGUGCCGUAGCUAACGCAUUAAGUACCCCCGCCUGGGGGAGUACGGGCCGCAAGGCUAAAACUCAAAGGAAUUUGACGGGGGGCCCGCACAA
rnacentral:rRNA from 1 species